rnacentral:lncRNA from 1 species
UGAAAUUGGAAACAAUGACGCUUUAAUUCACUGCUGAGUUAAUGGGCCUGCUGAUUUGUCUUCAUUUUUCAGGACUCUAAAAUGUCCUUAAAACCCUCUCAAGGGUUUUAUACUUUUAACCCAAGGUCUCUGUGCUUCAUUUUUCCUUUUGUUCUUCAAACACUCUCAUUGCCUCUCUCUGUUUCAUCUUCUGAGAGGUUUGGAAUAAUGCAUGAUAUGUAUUGAAUGAUUUGGAUGGAGUUUGUGACAUGUCUUGCUGAUGUUAAGCCAUUCAAAAUCCUAGGGAAUAGUCCCAGCUUGCAUUAGCAGUAGAUUAAUGCAGGUGAACUUCAGAGUCUUAAUUUUAAAGAAUUUACAUUUUUACCAGUGAUGAUUGAAAACCACUGGCAUUCUUUCUGCCCAAAUUACUGAUUACAAUUGCAAAUUCUUGCAAAAAGUGCUAGAAUGACUUCUCACUGUUCCAUAAGGCGCAGAGUA